UUUUAUGAGAGUUUGAUCCUGGCUCAGGACGAACGCUGGCGGCGUGCCUAAUACAUGCAAGUCGAACGCUUUUUCUUUCACCGGAGCUUGCUCCACCGAAAGAAAAAGAGUGGCGAACGGGUGAGUAACACGUGGGUAACCUGCCCAUCAGAAGGGGAUAACACUUGGAAACAGGUGCUAAUACCGUAUAACAAGUAAAACCGCAUGGUUUUACUUUGAAAGGCGCUUUUGCGUCACUGAUGGAUGGACCCGCGGUGCAUUAGCUAGUUGGUGAGGUAACGGCUCACCAAGGCAACGAUGCAUAGCCGACCUGAGAGGGUGAUCGGCCACAUUGGGACUGAGACACGGCCCAAACUCCUACGGGAGGCAGCAGUAGGGAAUCUUCGGCAAUGGACGAAAGUCUGACCGAGCAACGCCGCGUGAGUGAAGAAGGUUUUCGGAUCGUAAAACUCUGUUGUUAGAGAAGAACAAGGAUGAGAGUAAAAUGUUCAUCCCUUGACGGUAUCUAACCAGAAAGCCACGGCUAACUACGUGCCAGCAGCCGCGGUAAUACGUAGGUGGCAAGCGUUGUCCGGAUUUAUUGGGCGUAAAGCGAGCGCAGGCGGUUUCUUAAGUCUGAUGUGAAAGCCCCCGGCUCAAC
rnacentral:rRNA from 1 species